AAGCAGGGGACCUUCGGGCCUUGUGCUCUUGGAGCGGCCGAUAUCUGAUUAGCUAGUUGGUGAGGUAAAGGCUCACCAAGGCGACGAUCAGUAGCUGGUCUGAGAGGACGACCAGCCACACUGGAACUGAGACACGGUCCAGACUCCUACGGGAGGCAGCAGUGGGGAAUUUUGGACAAUGGGCGCAAGCCUGAUCCAGCAAUGCCGCGUGAGUGAAGAAGGCCUUCGGGUUGUAAAGCUCUUUUGUCAGGGAAGAAACGGUAGAGGCUAAUAUCCUUUGCUAAUGACGGUACCUGAAGAAUAAGCACCGGCUAACUACGUGCCAGCAGCCGCGGUAAUACGUAGGGUGCAAGCGUUAAUCGGAAUUACUGGGCGUAAAGCGUGCGCAGGCGGUUUUGUAAGUCUGUCGUGAAAUCCCCGGGCUCAACCUGGGAAUUGCGAUGGAGACUGCAAGGCUAGAAUCUGGCAGAGGGGGGUAGAAUUCCACGUGUAGCAGUGAAAUGCGUAGAGAUGUGNGAAGGANNACNACCGAUGGCGAAGGCAGCCCCCUGGGUCAAGAUUGACGCUCAUGCACGAAAGCGUGGGGAGCAAACAGGAUUAGAUACCCUGGUAGUCCACGCCCUAAACGAUGUCUACUAGUUGUCGGGUUUUAAUUAACUUGGUAACGCAGCUAACGCGUGAAGUAGACCGCCUGGGGAGUACGGUCGCAAUGAUUAAAACUCAAAGGAAUUGACGGGGACCCGCACAAGCGGUGGAUGAUGUGGAUUAAUUCGAUGCAACGCGAAAAACCUUACCUACCCUUGACAUGUCAGGAAGGCCGAAGAGAUUUGGUUGUGCCCGAAAGGGAACCUGAACACAGGUGCUGCAUGGCCGUCGUCAGCUCGUGUCGUGAGAUGUUGGGUUAAGUCCCGCAACGAGCGCAACCCUUGUCAUUAGUUGCUACGCAAGAGCACUCUAAUGAGACUGCCGGUGACAAACCGGAGGAAGGUGGGGAUGACGUCAAGUCCUCAUGGCCCUUAUGGGUAGGGCUUCACACGUCAUACAAUGGUACAUACAGAGGGCCGCCAACCCGCGAGGGGGAGCUAAUCCCAGAAAG
rnacentral:rRNA from 1 species